rnacentral:misc_RNA from 1 species
GGAAGUAAAAGUUGUAACAAGGUUUCCGUAGGUGAACCUGCGGAAGGAUCAUUAUUGUAUAACCGAGGUGCGAGGGCUGUCGCUGACCCGACAGGUCGUGCACGCCCGAGUGCCCUCACACACAUCCAUCUCACCCCUAUGUGCACCACCGCGUGGGUCCCCCUUUGUCUUGUUCGGAGGGGGGCUUACGUUUUCACACAAACUUUGUAUGCAGUGUAGAAUGUAUUUUUUGUUUUUGCGAUCACGCAAUCAAUACAACUUUCAACGACGGAUCUCUUGGCUCUC